rnacentral:rRNA from 1 species
AACGAACGCUGGCGGCAUGCCUAACACAUGCAAGUCGAACGAUUGCCUUCGGGUGAUAGUGGCGCACGGGUGCGUAACGCGUGGGAAUCUGCCCUUAGGUUCGGAAUAACAGCUGGAAACGGCUGCUAAUACCGGAUGAUAUCGCGAGUUCAAAGAUUUAUCGCCUGAGGAUGAGCCCGCGUUGGAUUAGGUAGUUGGUGGGGUAAAGGCCUACCAAGCCGACGAUCCAUAGCUGGUCUGAGAGGAUGAUCAGCCACACUGGGACUGAGACACGGCCCAGACUCCUACGGGAGGCAGCAGUGGGGAAUAUUGGACAAUGGGCGCAAGCCUGAUCCAGCAAUGCCGCGUGAGUGAUGAAGGCCCUAGGGUUGUAAAGCUCUUUUACCCGGGAAGAUAAUGACUGUACCGGGAGAAUAAGCCCCGGCUAACUCCGU